rnacentral:rRNA from 1 species
UACGAAGGGGGCUAGCGUUGCUCGGAAUCACUGGGCGUAAAGCGCACGUAGGCGGACUCUUAAGUCAGAGGUGAAAUCCUGGAGCUCAACUCCAGAACUGCCUUUGAUACUGAGAGCCUUGAGUUCGGGAGAGGUGAGUGGAACUGCGAGUGUAGAGGUGAAAUUCGUAGAUAUUCGGAAGAACACCGAUGGCGAAGGCAGCCAUCUGGACCGACACUGACGCUGAGGCGCGAAAGCGUGGGGAGCAAACAGG